rnacentral:rRNA from 1 species
UACGGGGGGGGCAAGCGUUGUUCGGAAUUACUGGGCGUAAAGGGCUCGUAGGCGGCCAACUAAGUCGGAUGUGAAAUCCCCAGGCUUAACCUGGGAACUGCAUCCGAUACUGGAUGGCUUGAGUUUGGGAGAGGGAUGCGGAAUUCCAGGUGUAGCGGUGAAAUGCGUAGAUAUCUGGAGGAACACCGGUGGCGAAGGCGACAUCCUGGACCAACACUGACGCUGAGGAGCGAAAGCGUGGGGAGCGAACAGG